CAAAAAUUAAACGGAUGAGCUUAUCUCAGUGAGACACAUCAGCAAUAAAAAAUAAUAAAAGUUCAAAACUUGUAAUAUUUACAAGCACUUAAGUUCAGAAAAAAGAUAGAAUACAACACUGGGUGAUGUGGAGCCGACUAUUACAGACUUCACAUAUAAUGGGAUGGUCAUUUUUGCUGAGAACACAGAAUUGAUUAUCAUGAAACAAACACAACAGAAGAAUGACCAACACCGUAGUGUGAUGUGUAUAACGGUGCGUGUAUAUUUUGGUAAUUGGAUUUUCUGUUUUGAAACAGGUAUUGAAAUGAUAAAAAGGGAUAUACAAAAUUUGAAAAAUGCUUUGAUUUUCAUUUUAUAUUUACAAUAACAAGAAAAUUAAAUCAGUAAGAGACAGAAAUGAAAAAUGGUCCGGUUUUUCAUUUCCUGAGACCGGAAGUGAAUCAUCAGCAAGUGUGGAGCCAAACAUAGACAUAAUAAAGAGCAGACGCUGCUCGGCGUGCUGCGCAGUGAGAAAUACGGCCGCCAUUUUGGUCCGGUCGAGCUUCCCAUACGCUCCAGUCAUUUGUAUGGUGAUUCAGCGAUGCCGGAGCACUGUGCGGUGUAUUCCUGUGCCAAUAGGUGGACGGUAGCGAGCAGGGCUCAAGGAAUAACUUUUCACAGCCAGAAUAAAGCAGGAACACAUCUGCCUCCAGAAGAUCUGAGGAGAGCCUGUCUGAGACUCCUCAGGAUGGCCCGGUGGCCUCAACCUCACAUUCAGAAGCUCCGCCUAAAGAUGAUCAGAGCUAUGUAAUGCCUUCCUCCCCAACUGCUUUAAAGGCCAGACUCACCGGAGCUUUGGAAAGAGUUGAUAUAUUGGAGCGAGAAAAAAAGAAUGCUAAGGCGCGUGAAAAGAGGGCAAAGACCAACGUGAAGAGUCUUCUAGCACAAUUAAGUGAAAAGAACCUCAUUAAUGAAGAGCUCAAAGACAGACUUGAGUUCUACUUAGAUCUUAAACUAGACUUCAUGGCCAGGCGGGGUCAUGAGUACUCAAAGGAGCACAGAGAAUUCGCCCUGACACUCCAUCUUCAUAGUCCUAAGGCAUACAAAUACCUCAGAGACACUGAAUUGUUCCCUUCCCCAUCCACAUACAUUACAAAGGUGGCUUUGUUCUAUGGAUGACAAGCCUGGCCUGAACAAAAUGAUGCUGGAUAUGCUGGAGAAAAGACGGAAGGAUGACCAGGCUAAAUAUGGGCGUGUUGCAGUCAUGUUAGAUUCCAUGGCCAUAAGAAAACAUGUGCAAUAUAAUCCGCACAACCAGUCAAUGUCUGGCUUUGUAGACAUGGGUGAUGGAAACAAUGAGACUGAUGUUGCUACUGAGGCGCUUGUGUUCCUGGUGGUUGGCCUUCAAGGACAUUGGAAGGCUCCCAUUGCAUAUUACCUGACGAAGACUCUGUCUCCAGACACACAAAGGGUCCUUCUCACUCAUGCUUUGGAGGAGCUGCAUGCACGGGGUAUUCAGGCGGUACGUGUCACAAUGGAUGGCCAUGCUACAAACAUCAGCAUGUGCAAUCAACUUGGUUGUGAGCUGAGGGGUAACCCACAAGAACCACUUAAAACCAGUUUCCCACAUCCGUUGACUGGUGACCAAGUAUUUAUAAUGAUGGACGCAUGCCACAUGCUGAAGUUGGCACGUAAUAUGUUGCAGGUAAAUUAUUAUUGUUGUAUACCUAUUUGUACAAGUUAUGUCUCUGCUACUAAAAAAUAACUCUAAAUAUUUUUGUGUGUUCAGUUGCACAUUUAUUACUGGAUGUGAAGAUGAAAAUUGUGCUGUUUUUACUUUUUGAGCAGUGACCGAUUCUUUCUCUGAAGUCAUACAGUCCGAUUGCAUCUACCAGUGGACAGAUAAAUUGGAGGUACAUUGAUCAGCUCAAUGAUGUGCAAAAAAAGAUGGACUGCAUGCUGAAAAUAAAAUUACAAACAAGCAUGUCCACUUUGAGAACCAGAAGAUGGUUUCCCUAGCCGCACAACCACUGAGUCGCUCAGUGUCAGUGACUCUCCGCACAAUGCGAGAUCUUGGGUAUUCUCAAUUCAGAUACUGUGAGGUAACAGCAGAUUUCAUCGAGGUAAUUCCCUAAUAAUUCUGAUUGUAUCAUAGGUUUUUUUUCAUAAACUUAAGGUUUUUCGAUAUUUAACUGACAUGACAUUUAUAUGCCACUAUUUUUUUUAUAGAUGAUUGACAGUCUCUUUGAUAUUAUGAAUGGACGCAGUCCUCGUGCCAAAGGAUUCAAAGCUCCUUUUGGUGCUUUGAAUUUGAUAGAGAGGAAAGCAUUUUUGUCAAGAGCCAGUGACCACUUGCUCACUUUGGCUACAAAAGAUGGAACACCCCUCCAUCGCUCUAAGAGGUCUAUUAAAAAAGAGCAUUAAAGUUGAAAGUUCGAGAAAGUUACUGCAUGAGUUCAUUGAAACAGCUCCAGUUUUUGUUCCAUGCAUCGAGUUCAUAAGAUGCCUCAUUCUCUAUCAGGUUCAUAUGAUACAGUGUAUUUUCUUUUUGUUUUGUCUGCCAACAUGAUGCUCUUUAAUUACAAUGUUUUUCUGUGUCCAGCUGUAUUUGUCAAAAUUAACGUGUAUUCAGUGUUUUUCAGGUCCAAGAUGCAUAUAAAUCAUUUUUUUCCCCCAACAUUAAGAUUUGUCUGUGUCAAAAAGAGAGCUUGCAUGUAGGAGGGAUGUUGUCGUAUCAAAAUGGUAUUUGUCUGUCAUUGAAUUUGUCAUUAACAUCGACACAUUGAUGGUAAUGAUUCCAGAGCUCAUCCAAGUUCAGCGGUAUGUUCUAAUAUACAGAUUUAGCCAGGAUCACUUGGAACUCCUGUUUAAUUCCAUCAGAGCGUCAGGUGGCUGGAAUAAUAACCCCUCUGCGAGCCAGUUCCAGGCCAUUUUCCGCCGCUUGAUGGUUCGAUGUGGUGUGUCACCCAGUGAGACUGGCAAUGUUGCAGCCCAAGAUCAGACUGUGUCCCUAGCUGCAGUAGAGAUGUCCUCUCCAGAAACAGAUGAAGAACAUCCAUCUCCAUUUGCAAACAUUUCGGCCAUUGUGACAGAUCACAGUUACCUGCCCACUCGGUUCGGGGGGCUGGUGGAAAAUACCCUUGUCUAACAUCGCAGGAUUUGUGGUCCGGCAGAUUCUGCAAAAGCUGUCCUGUGAUAUAUGCUGUGCAAGCUUGGUCAGAGAUGCUGUACCGCCAUUUGAUGAAAACUACCACCGGCUGACACUGAAAAACCGUGGUGGCCUUGUGAUUCCAUCACAAGGUACUCUGAAGGUGCUGAGAGCUGCAGAGAGGGUCAUCCGGCAAGCAUCAACAAGGCAGGCACCAAAGUUGUCAACAGUCACCUACAUCGUCCGGGAGGAGGUUGGAACAGAGGACGUUUUUCAUCUUGGGGAACACAUUGAGGAGACACAGUUUGGCAUCGACAACCACCAUUUUACACUGUUGUCAUUAGUUGUGUCUGUGUUUCUGAAGAUAAGGCUGCACCACAUGGCAAAACUCACCUCCCUGGAGCUGCAGAAAGGGAGCACUAGGAAAAAAACACCAAAGUAGUCCUCUUUCAAGGCUUUUAGGGCCUGAGCAAAUUGAUGUAAAUAUGUAGUUUGGGUGCUGUCCUGUUAAGGUAGGGUUGUGUCAUGUACAAAAAUAAUACUUUUGGCGUUACAGUACUUGUUUGUUCACAGUGUAUACGACAACAAAUUGAAUAUCAUCUCAUCUGUUCUUGUGUUUAACUUCACAGUGUGCAAUUUUUUUUGAUAUGUAGGCAAUAUA